rnacentral:miRNA from 1 species
ACCCAUGUCAUCUGUCAUCUCAUCUAUUUUAAUUACAUAAUUUGUUAUAUAAAUAAAAGAAUUUCACACUAAAAAAAAAAAAAAAAUAUAACAAAUUAUGUAAUUAAAAUAGAUGAGAUGGCAGAUGACAUGGGU